rnacentral:tRNA from 1 species
GCCUUCGUGGUGUAGUGGUCAGCACGCUGGGCACAUAUCCAGAGGUCCGUGGUUCGAGUCCCGGCGAAGGUG